GGUCGUUGGAAUUGCUGCCCCGCACGAGAAAGCGAGGGUUUCCUUCCCCGCCGCGACCCCAUAUCCCUCCGCUCUACGGUGCCCCUCCUCGCUCCACGGUCGCGGAAUCCGGACGAGAUCGGCAGGAUCCGCUCUCGGGCGAGGGUUUUCUCUCUAUAAGUCGCUGCCUCGACCCAUGGGAACUCCGACGAACGGUGUACAUGUCGGCAGCUGGCGGGCCGGCGGAUCGGCUCCAGCCGCGUCCACCCUCACCUCCUCGUCCAUGACCUACUCUGCCCGGACGCCCGAGGUGACCGCGUGAUAUCAGAGAAGAUACUAUUUUUUCAGAAAAAAGGAAAGUAGGAUUUGAACGCCAUCCGCGAGUCCUCCAUCUAAGAGGUACCCCAUCCUAUAAACAUGAGUACUAGAUUUUGUAUAAUCAGAUCAUGAAUAUCCUGGAAGUAGCAUGCUCCCUUGCUGUUGUAAUUCGUAUAAAUUCAUGUAGUCGGCUAUAAUAAUGAUAUUUUUUUUCUUUUGAGAGAGAAAUUGUGUGUCUGCUCUGGUUUCAGUUUUAACGUCAGCUCGUUACAAUCCGUAACUACUUAUAGACUACUUCAUCCGGAUGGGUUUGCAACUUUGUGUACAGACUGCUUCAACACUUCUAUUUUCUAUAGGACUUGGAUUAAUAAUCUCCAACAAUAUGGUCAUGCUUCUUAUAUUCACUUUCAGUUCUAAAUACAUUUGUGCUUUUCUCUAUGUUGUACUACUAAACUAUGUGUGCUAAACUGAACAUAAAAAUAUGAUGGGGUGGUGGUUUCAACCAUAGAAAGAAUUGAUUUGGAGAACAAAGGAAAUUUUCGACGGACGAAGAACUCGCUCGAGAUGCUUCAGUGAUGAUUUUAUAUAGCAUUUUAUCUAAACCGGGGUUCCUUCUUUCAGACUGGGCGGUGCCAUAUGAUGUGAAGCCGGUGUAAUAACUUUUUCAUUUGGCAUCAGUGGACAGUGGUGAUGUGGCAAUCUUUUAGACAAUUUGCCACCUGUAACACAAUGUAAAACCUCUUAUGAGCUGGUUGCCUUCUUGGUAGUUGUUGCGGCUUCUGAAUUAAGUGUACCACUAUGUUUAAAACGCCAUGAUCAGAAGCUAUGGUGGGUGUACCAAUUGUGGGUGGCUAUUCCUAAGAUUGAUUCUUAUUGGGUCAGGGGCAUGUGAUUUCGUUCUCCCGGUGCAACGCACGGGCCCUUUUUUGCUAGUAUAUAAUUCAGAAGCCGCAACAACUACCAAGAAGGCAACCAGCUCAUAUGAGGUUUUACAUUGUGUUACAGGUGGCAAAUUGUCUAAAAGAUUGCCACAUCACCACUGUCCACUGAUGCCAAAUGAAAAAGUUAUUACACCGGCUUCACAUCAUAUGGCACCGCCCAGUCUGAAAGAAGGAACCCCGGUUUAGAUAAAAUGCUAUAUAAAAUCAUGACUGAAGCAUCUCGAGCGAGUUCUUCGUCCGUCGAAAAUUUCCUUUGUUCUCCAAAUCAAUUCUUUCUAUGGCUGAAACCACCACCCCAUCAUAUUUUUAUGUUCAGUUUAGCACACAUAGUUUAGUAGUACAACAUAGAGAAAAGCACAAAUGUAUUUAGAACUGAAAGUGAAUAUAAGAAGCAUGACCAUAUUGUUGGAGAUUAUUAAUCCAAGUCCUAUAGAAAAUAGAAGUGUUGAAGCAGUCUGUACAUAAAGUUGCAAACCCAUCCGGAUGAAGUAGUCUAUAAGUAGUUACGGAUUGUAACAAGCUGACGUUAAAAUUGAAACCAGAGCAGACACACAAUUUCUCUCUCAAAA